UACGGAGGGGGCUAGCGUUGUCCGAAGUUACUGGGCGUAAAGCGCGCGCAGGCGGUUCUCCAAGUCCGUUGUGAAAGCCCCGGGCUCAACCUGGGAAUGGCAGUGGAAACUAGGGGACUUGAAUCUGGCAGAGGGGGGUGGAAUUCCACGUGUAGCAGUGAAAUGCGUAGAGAUGUGGAGGAACACCGAUGGCGAAGGCAGCCCCCUGGGCUGAGAUUGACGCUCAGGCACGAAAGCGUGGGGAGCAAACAGG
rnacentral:rRNA from 1 species